UUGCAAGUGUUUGAUCAUCUUAACUGCAGCAUUCAGCAUAUAUAUUUGAUAUUAUAUUCAUCCCAGAUUCAGUGAAAUGGGGAGCAAACUGGCCCUUGAAGACAAAGGAAGAGUUAAAUUUCUUGAUAAGAGGAGGCAGAGGCAUGAAUGCAUUGAUGCAAUGCAUUCCAAGCCUUACUCUUGUUCUAUUUUGAUCCCUCCUCAGCAACAAGGUCCCAAAAGCAAAGAAAAACUGAUUGAAUUCUUUUGCAGUAGUUGCUUACUGUGUGUGUGUUGUCCACUAGUCUGUGUCUGUUGUUUCAUCAAGCUACCAUGCAGAAUCUGUAAGCAAGCAUUGAAGUGUGCCUGGGAAUGGACUUGUUAUGGAUCAAAGAAUAAGAUGUUUGCAGAGUAUUCUUCAUUUUCUGACAUUGAUUCAGAUGUCACAUCUGGUAAUAUUAAGCAUACUAGUGUUUCUGAAGACAAAACAUACAGAUUACAAGGAAUUCAUGUCUUUUAAUGAGGUUACUGGGUCCCUAAAGUCACAACUUGAGCUAUACCUAGAGGAGCCAAGGGUUGAUGCAAAGCUCAAAUUAGAUGUAUUAGCAUAUUGGAAGGGUAAUCAAUUCAGGUAUUCACAAGUUGCUUCAACGGCCAGAGAUAUCUUUGGCAUGCCCAUCUCUAGUGUUGCUUCUGAAAGUGCUUUCAGUGUUGGGGGAAGAGUUUUAGACCAAUUAAUAUAGAAGUUCUCUCUCACAAGAUGGAGUGGAGGCUUUAAUUUGCACUAGAGAUUGGCUUUAUGGAGCCAUUGAUGGUGAAAUUGUACCUGUAGAAGAUUUAACUGAAGACUUGAUGGUGGAGGAACCCUAAAAUGAACUUGAUUCAUAAACUAGUGUUUAAUUUAGAAUAUUUAUUGUAUAAUUUUAUUUUGAUGAGUUUGUACUUUGCACUAGCCUUGAGAUAUUUAGAUAGAUGAUGGUAGGAUGAAAUUAUGAGGU